GCAGUCUGAGUCGGGGAAACAACUGAGGUGCCGUAAUUACAGUUGCCGUUCGUGUAUUCUACCGAGCUACCAUUAAUAAGCUAGAAGCUCUAACCUAGAGAUGUUAUGAAAAACAUUGUUUUCAUGCCAGCUACAAUGAAUGACCGAACGUAGCAGACUAACUGUAUAAUAUUGCAAUUGUAAGAUGUUCUUGCUAAGCCUAGACUAGCUGUUAAACUGCAUAUUAGGUUAGCAUAUUAGCUGGCAAGCUAACUGUGUUGAUUACUGAUAAUCAUAGCUGGAGAAUUUCGUCUGCAAACACACACGAAAUACUCAUAGACAGUAUACUCUGGCUGAUUUAACGUACGGUCAGUCGCCAAACAUAAUUACAUUGAAGUUGGCGGUCCUAGCAGCUAUGCUACUGUGCUACAAAGAGUCUGAAAUAUUACGCUACAUGGGAAAAGGUAGCAGACUAUCUGUAGAACAUUGUAAUUGUAAAAGUGUUGCUUUUAUGAAAUUGACUGUUUUCCUCGGAUACAAAAUUAAUUGUAUGAAUACUAUGUGUAUCUUUCUUAGAGUACAUCACAGCAGGAACACAAUACCCACCGCUCCAGUACAGUCGGAUGUCAAACAGACCGUCCACAGACUGUUUGUGUGGGAACUCAGAGGGUUGAGACACGGUCUGUUGGAAUGUAAAGUGUCCGCCAUUUCUGUUACUACACAGUUGGCCCGGGGAACACUGAAAUCGGCACACGUGAGAAGCAAAGGUAGACUAUAACGCUGACAAAUCACAGAUACAUUACCUUAAUUGUGCUUUUAUUACAUGUACAGCACUUGGGCUCGACCAACAAUCGUAGGAUCCUGUAGGAGCCGCAAGCGAUGCAAAUAAACCUUACCUAAAAGGUGGCUCAAUAACACUCGCCAGAGUUGAAACGAUACUCGCCAACAAGAGAGUUCUCAAAGAUGUGCUAAAGCUAAGCCAUCACUACCAGACCUCAUCCCUGGAGUCCUUCCACAACUUAAUUCUGCGUUUUACCCCAAAAAAUGUGGUUUUCCCCUUCAUUGGAAUGUUGUGCAGGUUGUGUCUAGCAGCAAUGCAUCACAACGAGAAUGCUGGGCGUGACCAAGCGACAACUGCUGCAGGAAAACUUGUCUUCAAAUUGGCUUAUCCAAAAUCAAAGAGGGGAGAGUGUACGGUCAAGCCUGUUAAGAACGACCCUACAUACAUCUAUGUGGAUGAGCUGACGAGGCUUGUGUUUCACAAAGUCUUUCUGGACCCUACACCCUUUGUGGACGAGCUGAAACGAAUCCACGUCCCAGAGGACCUGUCAACUCAAUUUGACAGGCCCCCCAAGGAGGAAAUGAUUGUCAGCUGUUUCUCCCGUUUCCCCCCAAAGGAGGUCGAAAUCCUACAUAUUGUCCAGCCAGAUCUGGAAACUCCUGGCGGAUCCGGAGCACAACACACGACGGAAUCACCACUCUGAUGCCUCGCCCUAAAUAUCCCCAGCACCAGCUUACAAAGCUGCGAUACGCAAAAUAUCGAAAACGCUUAUCAGGAGAGGAAUGGAUGAUGUACAGUGUAUAAAUAUACAUUCACACAUUUUGUACAUUUGUAAAAAUAAAGUUUGAUGGAAAUACUUAGGAGCCUUUCUUUCCUGAAUUAUUUGCUCCGAUAACAUAUCAUUCAUAUAUAGCAAACCAUGAUUUGAUUUUUCAUCAAACGGUAGUAGUUUAUUACAGGUAACAAUAACUUACUCUUCUUCCGUUGUAUUUGUCAAAGGUCCGAAACUAUAUUUAU